AUUGAACGCUGGCGGCAGGCCUAACACAUGCAAGUCGAGCGGAGCGGCGGUCGGGUGAGUAAUGCCUAGGAAUCUGCCUGUUAGUGGUGGAUAACGUCCGGUACCGGGCGCUAAUACCGCAUACUCUCAGCAUAGCCUAGGCCGGCUUAGAUAGUUGGUGGGGUAAAGGCCUACCAAGGCGACGCUCCGUAGCUGGUCUGAGAGGAUGAUCAGUCACAAUGGGACUGAGACACGGUCCAGACUCCUACGGGAGGCAGCAGUGGGGAAUAUUGGACAAUGGGCGAAAGCCUGAUGCAGCCAUGCCGCGUGUGUGAAGAAGGUCUUCGGAUUGUAAAGCACUUUAAGUUGGGAGGCGUUACCAACAGAAGAAGCACCGGCUAACUCCGUGCCAGCAGCCGCGGUAAUAC
rnacentral:rRNA from 1 species